rnacentral:rRNA from 1 species
AUUGAACGCUGGCGGCAUGCCUUACACAUGCAAGUCGAACGGCAGCACGGGUGCUUGCACCUGGUGGCGAGUGGCGAACGGGUGAGUAAUACAUCGGAACGUACCUUAUCGUGGGGGAUAACGCAGCGAAAGCUGUGCUAAUACCGCAUACGCCCUGAGGGGGAAAGCGGGGGAUCGCAAGACCUCGCGCGAUUAGAGCGGCCGAUGCCUGAUUAGCUUGUUGGUGGGGUAAAAGCCCACCAAGGCGACGAUCAGUAGCUGGUCUGAGAGGACGAUCAGCCACACUGGGACUGAGACGCGGCCCAGACCCCUACGGGAGGCAGCAGUGGGGAAUUUUGGACAAUGGGGGCAACCCUGAUCCAGCAAUGCCGCGUGAGUGAAGAAGGCCUUCGGGUUGUAAAGCUCUUUUGUCAGGGAAGAAACACCGGCUCUAACACAGUCUGGGAAUGACGGUACCUGAAGAAUAAGCACCGGCUAACUACGUGCCAGCAGCAGCCGCCG